UCAGUGAUUCUCCUGCCUCAGGCUCCCGAGUAGCUGGGAUGACAGGCAUGAGCCACCACACCAGGCUGAUUUCAUAUUUUUAGUAGGGACGGGGUUUUUCCAUGUUGGUUAGGCUGGUCUUGAACUCUCAACCUUGGGUGAUCCGCCCAACUCGGCCUCCCAAAGUGCUGGGAUUACAGAGACAGUGUCUUGCUUUGUCAUCCAGGCUGGAGUACAGUGGUGUGAUCUCGGCUCACUGCAACGUGCUCCCCCCAGGUUCAAGCGAUUCUUGUGCUUCAGCCCCCCGAGUAGCUGGGACAACAGGUGUGCGCCACCAUGCCUGGCUAAUUUUUGCAUUUUUAGUAGAGAUGGAGUUUCACCAUGCUAGCCGUGCUGGUCUUGAACUCCUGACAUCAGGUGAUCCUCCCGUCUCGGCCUUCCAAAGUUCUGGGAUUAUAGGCAUGUAUGUGUUCAUCCUUUUAAAUAUCUGCGGGUAGCACUUAACUUUAAAUGGGUACUAAUUAAACUAUUGAAUGACUUUAGUAUGGAUUGAAUGACUUUGCUCGGUCCUCAUUUUUAAUUUCCUUCAUUAGAGGAAAAAAAAAAAAAAUGCAGCUUGAAUAUCCCUCAUCCAAACUGCUUGGAACCAGAAGUGUCUCAGAUUUUUUUGCAUUUUUGGAUUUUUGAAUAUUUGUAUUAUACUUGCUGGUUGAGCAUCCUGAGUUCAAAAAUCCAGAAUCUGAGCUGCUCCAAUGAACAUUUCUUUGAGUGUCACGUCGGCACUCAAAAAGUUGUGGAUUUCGGAGUUUCUGGUUAGGGAGACUCAUCCUAUAUGGGUGCUGGAUUGUCGCAGGAGUUCUGGACCAGAGGUUAAGUGACUAGGCUUUGGUUUCCGCUUAGUUCCUAACCAGACUGUUUUCUUCCAUAAGCUCAGCUUUAGAUCCCCUGGUUGUCAAAGAAGGGGAUGGGCCAUCUGAUGUUUAAGGCCUCUGUUAGUUCUGACUUGGAGACAUCUGGCUUCAGUUCAUCUUCCUUAGGAGUGGACAAAGAAUAUGGGAAUUUUGAAAUUGUUAGUCAACAUCUACAGGGUCGUUGCAGCCUGGUUUUGGGUAAAGGUCAUCUUUAGUGAGCCCAGGGAGAAGCACUGGUUUAGCUGUCAGCUGAGAGGGGUAAGUGGUCCUAUU
rnacentral:lncRNA from 10 species